UACGGAGGGGAGCUAGCGUUGUUCGGAAUUACUGGGCGUAAAGCGCGCGUAGGCGGAUUUGUAAGUCGGGGGGUGAAAUCCCGGGGCUCAACCUCGGAACUGCCUUCGAUACUGCAAAUCUCGAGUCCGGAAGAGGUGAGUGGAAUUCCCGGUGUAGCGGUGAAAUGCGCAGAUAUCGGGAGGAACACCAAUGGCGAAGGCAGCUCACUGGGACGGUACUGACGCUGAGACGCGAAAGCGUGGGGAGCAACAGG
rnacentral:rRNA from 1 species